rnacentral:rRNA from 1 species
UACGUAGGGUGCAAGCGUUAAUCGGAAUUACUGGGCGUAAAGCGUGCGCAGGCGGUUUUGUAAGUCUGAUGUGAAAUCCCCGGGCUCAACCUGGGAAUUGCAUUGGAGACUGCAAGGCUAGAAUCUGGCAGAGGGGGGUAGAAUUCCGCGUGUAGCAGUGAAAUGCGUAGAGAUGUGGAGGAACACCGAUGGCGAAGGCAGCCCCCUGGGUCAAGACUGACGCUCAUGCACGAAAGCGUGGGGAGCAAACAGG